rnacentral:ncRNA from 1 species
CAAUAGAUAAUAAAUAAUUAUGUUUAGAAAAAUUUAUUAAAAGUUUAUUUUAUAUAUAAAUUAUAGUGUUAAAUUAUUAUUAUUUUAAUAAUAAUAAUAUUUUUAUUAUAGUAAAUAAAAUUAAAAAUUUAAGAAAUUAAGAUUUAGUAAUACAAAAAUUAAUAACAAAUUUUGUGCCAGCAGUUGCGGUUACACAAAAAUUAAAUUGAAUUAUUUCAGUUUAUAAAUAAUAAAUUAAAAUUAAAAUAGAUAUUAAAUUAUUAGGUAAAAUUUUAAUUUAAUUAAAUUUUAUAGGUAAAUUUAUGUUUUAAUAAAUUUUAAGAUAAACUAGGAUUAGAUACCCUAUUAUUAAAAAUUUAAAUUAUAAUACUAAAAUAGUAAAUAAUUAUUUAUUGAAACUUAAAUAAUAUGGCGGUAUUUUAGUUCAUUUAGAGGAAUCUGUUUAAUAAUUGAUAAUCCACGAUUAAAUUUACUUAAUUAAUAAUUUUAUAUAUCGUUGUUAAAAAAAUAUUUUUAAUUAAUAAUAAUAUUUUAAAAUUUAAAUAAAAAAUUAAUUCAGAUCAAGAUGUAGAUUAUAAUUAAGAAUAUAAUGGAUUACAAUAAAUUUAUUUAAAUGAAUAUAUUAUUGAAAAAUAAUAUUGAAGGUGGAUUUAAAUGUAAUUUUAUUUAAUUGAAUAAAAUGAUUUAAAAUUAAAAUAUGUACAUAUUGCCCGUCACUUUCAUUUUAAAGUUGAAAUAAGUCGUAACAAAGUAGAGGUACUGGAAAGUGUUUCUAGAAAA